rnacentral:rRNA from 1 species
CCUACGGGGGGCUGCAGUGGGGAAUAUUGGACAAUGGGCGAAAGCCUGAUCCAGCCAUGCCGCGUGUGUGAAGAAGGCCUUCGGGUUGUAAAGCACUUUCAGUGGGGAAGAAAGCCUUGGGGCUAAUACCCUCGAGGAAGGACAUCACCCACAGAAGAAGCACCGGCUAACUCCGUGCCAGCAGCCGCGGUAAUACAGGAGGGUGCGAGCGUUAAUCGGAAUUACUGGGCGUAAAGCGCGCGUAGGCGGUCUGAUAAGCCGGUUGUGAAAGCCCCGGGCUCAACCUGGGAACGGCAUCCGGAACUGUCAGGCUAGAGUGCAGGAGAGGAAGGUAGAAUUCCCGGUGUAGCGGUGAAAUGCGUAGAGAUCGGGAGGAAUACCAGUGGCGAAGGCGGCCUUCUGGACUGACACUGACGCUGAGGUGCGAAAGCGUGGGUAGCAAACAGGAUUAGAUACCCCAGUAGUC